GACGAACGCUGGCGGCGUGCUUAACACAUGCAAGUCGAACGAAGUGGCGAACGGGUGAGUAACGCGUAAUCACUCUGCCCUUCAGAGGGGGACAAAAGUUGAAAACGACUGCUAAUACCUCAUACUGAGGAGGGGAUUGCGUCUGAUGAGCUAGUUGGAGGGGUAACGGCCAACGAAGGCGAUGCUUAGUAGGCGCUAUGUGGAGAUGAACGGCCCCAUUGGGCCUGGGGCACGGCCCAGACUCCUACGAGAGGCAGCAGUGGGGAAUCUUCCGCUAUGUACGAAAGUCUGACGGAGCAACGCCGCGUAGGUUAUGACGGCCUUCGGGUGGUAAAGCUCUGUUAAUCGGGACGCGGUACCGGAAGAGGAAGCCACGGCUAACUACGUGCCAGCAGCCGCGGUAAUUC
rnacentral:rRNA from 1 species